rnacentral:rRNA from 1 species
UACAGAGGUCCCAAGCGUUGUUCGGAUUCACUGGGCGUAAAGGGUGCGUAGGUGGCCGGGUAAGUUCGGUGUGAAAGCUCCAAGCUCAACUUGGAAAUGUCACCGAAAACUCCUCGGCUAGAGGAUUGAAGGGGAGACUGGAAUUCUCGGUGUAGCAGUGAAAUGCGUAGAUAUCGAGAGGAACACCGGUGGCGAAGGCGAGUCUCUGGGCAAAUCCUGACACUGAGGCACGAAAGCUGGGGGAGCAAACAGG